rnacentral:rRNA from 1 species
GAGUUUGAUCCUGGCUCAGAGUGAACGCUGGCGGUAGGCCUAACACAUGCAAGUCGAACGGCAGCACAGAGGAGCUUGCUCCUUGGGUGGCGAGUGGCGGACGGGUGAGGAAUACAUCGGAAUCUACUCUGUCGUGGGGGAUAACGUAGGGAAACUUACGCUAAUACCGCAUACGACCUACGGGUGAAAGCAGGGGAUCUUCGGACCUUGCGCGAUUGAAUGAGCCGAUGUCGGAUUAGCUAGUUGGCGGGGUAAAGGCCCACCAAGGCGACGAUCCGUAGCUGGUCUGAGAGGAUGAUCAGCCACACUGGAACUGAGACACGGUCCAGACUCCUACGGGAGGCAGCAGUGGGGAAUAUUGGACAAUGGGCGCAAGCCUGAUCCAGCCAUACCGCGUGGGUGAAGAAGGCCUCGGUUGUAAGACCUUU